rnacentral:rRNA from 1 species
UACGUAGGUGGCGAGCGUUAUCCGGAAUUAUUGGGCGUAAAGAGCGCGCAGGUGGUUGAUUAAGUCUGAUGUGAAAGCCCACGGCUUAACCGUGGAGGGUCAUUGGAAACUGGUCGACUUGAGUGCAGAAGAGGGAAGUGGAAUUCCAUGUGUAGCGGUGAAAUGCGUAGAGAUAUGGAGGAACACCAGUGGCGAAGGCGGCUUCCUGGUCUGUAACUGACACUGAGGCGCGAAAGCAUGGGUAGCGAACAGGAUUAGA